rnacentral:rRNA from 1 species
CGGCGCACAGCUCAGUAACACGUGGCCAACCUGCCCUUGGGACGGAAACACCCCCGGGAAACUGGGGCUAAUUUCCGAUAGGUGAAGACUCCUGGAAUGGAUUUUCGCUCAAAGGGCGCCUGGGGCAUGCUCCCAGGCGUUGCCAAGGAUGGGGCCGCGGCCGAUCAGGUUGUUGGUGAGGUAAUGGCCCACCAAGCCUUUAACCGGUACGGGCCGUGGGAGCGGUAGCCCGGAGAUGGGCACUGAGACAAGGGCCCAGGCCCUACGGGGCGCAGCAGUCGCGAAAACUUCGCAAUAAGCGAAAGCUUGACGGGGCCAUCCCGAGUGCCAUCUGCUGAGGAUGGCUUUUACCUAGUAUAGAUAGCUGGGGGAAUAAGGAGAGGGCAAGUCUGGUGUCAGCCGCCGCGGUAAUACCAGCUCUCCGAGUUGUAGGGAUGUUUAUUGGGCAUAAAGCAUCCGUAGCCGGCUGGACAAGUCCUCUGUUAAAUCCAGCGACCAAUCGUUGGUCUGCGGGGGAUACUGUCCGGCUAGGGGGCGGGAGAGGCCGUCGGUAUUCUUGGGGUAGGGGUGAAAUCCUAUAAUCCCAGGAGGACCACCAGUGGCGAAGGCUGUCGGCUAGAACGCGCCCGACGGUGAGGGAUGAAAGCUGGGGGAGCGAACCGGAUUAGAUACCCGGGUAGUCCCAGCUGUAAACGAUGCAGGCUAGGUGUUAGGGCGGCUACGUGCCGCUCUAGUGCCGUAGGGAAGCUGUUAAGCCUGCCGCCUGGGGAUACGCCGCGAGGCUGAACUUAAAGGCCA